rnacentral:rRNA from 1 species
UACAGAGGUCUCAAGCGUUGUUCGGAUUCAUUGGGCGUAAAGGGUGCGUAGGCGGCGGGGCAAGUCAGGUGUGAAAUCCCGGGGCUCAACCCUGGAGCUGCACUUGAUACUGCUUUGCUAGAGUACUGGAGAGGAGAUUGGAAUUUACGGUGUAGCAGUGAAAUGCGUAGAUAUCGUAAGGAAGACCAGUGGCGAAGGCGAAUCUCUGGACAGUUACUGACGCUGAGGCCCGAAGGCCAGGGGAGCAAACGGG